AUGGACAGGGGGGUGACACUGUCCUCGAGCCGUAUAGACCGGUGCCAGCUCAGACGCGAUCACAUCUACACCUGGCGCAAGAGCGCUCUUAAUGUGUACUCUCAUCAUGGAAUCUACGAGAGCGACAGCAAGGUCAUCCACUUCACCAUGUCUUGCUCACCUACGCAAACUUGCUGGGACUGCGCUCAAGCUAAUCGUAAAGGCGGCGUCAUCAUCACCUGCCUUGACUGCUUCCUGGGAACGGGAGAUAUUUGCCUCUUCGCCUACUCAGUGCCCUUGUGGUUCCAUGCCAUGGCCAAUCCGGGUAUUCAAGUGACCUGCUCCAUGGAACCUCAAGACCCCCCCGAGACGGUCUUGCACCGCGCCAACAAGCUGCUCGCCGACGGCUUCGGCAUGCACUUUGCCCUCUACUGCAAGACAGGGCACCAUACUAAACAAUCAGUGAUAAAGCUUCAUCCGGCGCCGGCAAUUCUAGGGAUAAAUUAUCCGUCUAGACCGCUUGGAAAGGCAGUGGCAACGUUUGCACUAACGGCAAGCCUAAUAAAGUCGUUCGGAAAACAUCAUUAG
rnacentral:rRNA from 1 species